ensembl:snRNA U2 U2 spliceosomal RNA
AUCGCUUCUCGGCCUUUUGGCUAAGGUCAAGUGUGGUAUCUGUUCUUAUCAGUGUAAGACUUAGAGAAAAGCGGCUUGCUUCUGAUGGGCGCGGUCCUGGGGGUGCUGCUAGCUUCCUGAGCCUCU